AGUGGCGAACGGGUGAGUAACACGUGGGCAACCUACCUCAUAGUGGGGGAUAACAGUCGGAAACGACUGCUAAUACCGCAUAGGACAUAGGAUCACAUGAUCCAGUGAGGAAAGGUGGCGCAAGCUAUCGCUAAGAGGUGGACCCGCGGUGCAUUAGCUAGUUGGUAGGGUAAAGGCCUACCAAGGCGAUGAUGCAUAGCCGACCUGAGGGGGUGAUCGGCCACAUUGGGACUGAGACACGGCCCAAACUCCUACGGGAGGCAGCAGUAGGGAAUCUUCCGCAAUGGACGCAAGUCUGACGGAGCAACGCCGCGUGAGUGAAGAAGGUCUUCGGAUCGUAAAGCUCUGUUGUUAGAGAAGAACAGCGCAUAAAGUAACUGCUAUGCGUGUGACGGUAUCUAACCAGAAAGCCACGGCUAACUACGUGCCAGCAGCCGCGGUAAUACGUAGGUGGCGAGCGUUGUCCGGAUUUAUUGGGCGUAAAGGGAGUGUAGGCGGUCUUUUAAGUCUGAUGUGAAAGCCCACGGCUCAACCGUGGAGGGUCAUUGGAAACUGGGAGACUUGAGUGCAGAAGAGGAGAGCGGAAUUCCAUGUGUAGCGGUGAAAUGCGUAGAUAUAUGGAGGAACACCAGUGGCGAAGGCGGCUCUCUGGUCUGUAACUGACGCUGAGGCUCGAAAGCGUGGGGAGCAAACAGGAUUAGAUACCCUGGUAGUCCACGCCGUAAACGAUGAGUGCUAAGUG
rnacentral:rRNA from 1 species